CCUACGGGCGGCUGCAGUGGGGAAUAUUGCACAAUGGGGGAAACCCUGAUGCAGCGACGCCGCGUGAGCGAGGAAGUAUUUCGGUAUGUAAAGCUCUAUCUGCAGGGACGAAAAAAGACGGUACCUGACUAAGAAGCCCCGGCUAAAUACGUGCCAGCAGCCGCGGUAAUACGUAGGGGGCAAGCGUUAUCCGGAUUUACUGGGUGUAAAGGGAGCGUAGGCGGUAAGGCAAGCCAGAAGUGAAAGGGUAGGUCUCAACUCUGGACACGCUUUUGAAACUGUGGUGCUAGAGUGCAGGAGAGGUAAGUGGAAUGCCUAGUGUAGCGGUGAAAUGCGUAGAUAUUAGGAGGAACACCAGUGGCGAAGGCGGCUUACUGGACUGCAACUGACGUUGAGGCUCGAAAGCGUGGGGAGCAAACAGGAUUAGAUACCCUGGUAGUC
rnacentral:rRNA from 1 species